CCUACGGGAGGCAGCAGUGAGGAAUAUUGGUCAAUGGGCGCGAGCCUGAACCAGCCAAGUCGCGUGAGGGAAGACGGUCCUAUGGAUUGUAAACCUCUUUUGUCGGGGAGCAAAAGACGCCACGCGUGGCGUUCUGAGAGUACCCGAAGAAAAAGCAUCGGCUAAUUCCGUGCCAGCAGCCGCGGUAAUACGGAGGAUGCGGGCGUUAUCCGGAUUUAUUGGGUUUAAAGGGUGCGCAGGCGGAAGAUCAAGUCAGCGGUAAAAUUGGGAGGCUCAACCUCUUCGAGCCGUUGAAACUGGUUUUCUUGAGUGAGCGAGAAGUAUGCGGAAUUCGUGGUGUAGCGGUGAAAUGCAUAGAUAUCACGCAGAACUCCGAUUGCGAAGGCAGCAUACCGGCGCUCAACUGACGCUCAUGCACGAAAGUGUGGGUAUCGAACAGGAUUAGAUACCCCAGUAGUC
rnacentral:rRNA from 1 species